UUUCCGUAGGUGAACCUGCGGAAGGAUCAUUACUGAGUGAGAGCCUCUCGGGGUCCAACAUCCCACCCGUGUUUAACGAACCUUGUUGUUUCUGCGGGCCCGCCUCACGGCCCCCUGAAGGCAUCCGCCCCCGGGCCCGCGCACCCCGAAACAACUUGUGAACGCUGUCUGUAAUAUGUUGUCUGGAAAACUUAUUAAAUUAAUUAAAACUUUCAACAACGGAUCUCUUGGCUCCG
rnacentral:misc_RNA from 1 species